GACGAACGCUGGCGGCGUGCUUAACACAUGCAAGUCGAACGGAAAGGCCUCUUUCGGGGGUUACUCGAGUGGCGAACGGGUGAGUAACACGUGAGUAACCUGCCCUUGACUUUGGGAUAACUUCAGGAAACUGGGGCUAAUACCGGAUAGGAGCUCCUGCUGCAUGGUGGGGGUUGGAAAGUUUCGGCGGUUGGGGAUGGACUCGCGGCUUAUCAGCUUGUUGGUGGGGUAGUGGCUUACCAAGGCUUUGACGGGUAGCCGGCCUGAGAGGGUGAACGGCCACAUUGGGACUGAGAUACGGCCCAGACUCCUACGGGAGGCAGCAGUGGGGAAUAUUGCACAAUGGGUGGAAGCCUGAUGCAGCAACGCCGUGUGCGGGAUGACGGCCUUCGGGUUGUAAACCGCUUUCGCUCAUGACGAAGCUUUGUGUGACGGUAGUGGGUAAAGAAGCACCGGCUAACUACGUG
rnacentral:rRNA from 1 species